UUCAGGAUGAUCAGCGUACUGCACAAGACGGAUCCCAGAUUAGAAAACGUGUGGAGCUCGAGUCUACCAGGGAGUUUGGAAAACACUGAACUAGCUGAAUACUGUGGGUUUUGUUAAAAGGCUCUAUUGACGAACAGAGAUGGUUGCUUGAUCCUAUCGGCCAAAAUGAACAAGUUAUUUUGGUUCUGAAAAUUGAAGAUAUUGUGCUUGGUAUUAGUGGCCAACAUGUUUCGAAGACGCCUAAGAUGAUUAAUCUGUUCCAGAUACUUGUAUACUAAUCCUGUGGUCAAUUCCUUCUCCAGUAGCUCCCCAAGCGAGUAAUUUGACAAAUCCAAAUAAGAAGAUCAAAAUGAAUUAUGAAGACCACAAGCUUGAAGGCAUGCUCAUAGUAGUUUUUGCUUGCUUCGUAGUUCUUUUCGACCCACCUUAUUUUUACUGGUUAGUUAAUAAGGUUUAUUCUUCAACUUUGACAGUCGUUCCUGUACUGAUUGCAUGACCAUGUUUCCUAUCCUAGUUGCAUUACCGUGUUUCCUGUACUUGCAUAGUUUUUAUACACGGAAUUUGUUCUUUACUGUAAUCAUUUUUGGUAGCUUAUUUGUCUGUCUGUAAAUUUCACAAGAUUACUGCUUGCUUUCAAAUGUGGAGCAAUGCCUAAGAUUCAUAAAAAAUAUGCUUGAUUGUUGUA